rnacentral:misc_RNA from 1 species
GAUGAAGAACGUAGCGAAAUGCGAUAAGUAAUGUGAAUUGCAGAAUUCAGUGAAUCAUCGAAUCUUUGAACGCACAUUGCGCCCGCCAGUAUUCUGGCGGGCAUGCCUGUCUGAGCGUCAUUUCAACCCUCAUGCCCCUAGGGCGUGGUGUUGGGGAUCGGCCAAAGCCCGCGAGGGACGGCCGGCCCCUAAAUCUAGUGGCGGACCCGUCGUGGCCUCCUCUGCGAAGUAGUGAUAUUCCGCAUCGGAGAGCGAUGAGCCCCUGCCGUUAAACCCCCAACUUUCCAAGGUUGACCUCAGAUCAGGUAGGAAUACCCGCUGAACUUAAGCAUAUCAAUAAGCGGAGGA